rnacentral:rRNA from 1 species
CCUACGGGAGGCUGCAGUCGAGAAUCUUCCCCAAUGGCCGAAAGGCUGAGGGAGCGACGCCGCGUGCAGGAAGAAUCCCUUCGGGGUGUAAACUGCUUUUCUUGGGGACUAACUCUGAAUGUACCCAAGGAAUAAGGGGCUGCUAACUUCGUGCCAGCAGCAGCGGUAAUACGAAGGCCCCAAGCGUUAUCCGGAUUUAUUGGGCGUAAAGAGUUCAAAGGCGGCUUCGUAAGUCUUUGGUCAAAUCCGGCGGCUCAACCGUCGGUCGGCUGGAGAAACUGCGAGGCUUGAGGCUGGGAGAGGUGAGCGGAACUAUCGGUGUAGCGGUAAAAUGCGUUCAUAUCGAUAGGAACACCAAAGGCGAAGGCAGCUCACUGGAACAGUCCUGACGCUAUCGAACGAAAGCGUGGGGAGCGAAUGGGAUUAGAUACCCGAGUAGU